AUAGAGAGGGAAAGACCAAAUGUUAAGCAAUGCUCCCCAGAUAUCUCAAAUUUUCCUUCAAAAUGGUCAACCAGAGGCAUCGCUGGUAUUCCUUUCUCUCCGCUCACCUGCUAGUUGAGAUGCCAAAGGUGGAUGGCACAAUGGACACUCCACGCAGAUCUUUUGAAAAAUUGAUGGGGAAUUAAAAAAGAGACUAUCAUCUCUACUUUCCCUUUUGGCGAAAUUUCGCUAAGGUAUACUCCAACCAUUCCACUUCACUGCACUCUCGCGCGCAGCCUCUCUUCCUGUGAGUGAGGAAGACGCUGCAUCCCAGGAGCUUCUAUGUAAAGUCCAGGAGGAGAACCAAGAGGAGAACUUCCCUGGUUCAGUGAGCCGUGGCCCGAGGAGUAAGCUGGAUGUCAGGUUUCACUGGAGCUUCCAGACUAACACAGGCUAGGAAGAAAGACCUGGGCACCCACUUCUGAAAAAAUUGGCCAUGAAAAUCCUAUGAACAGCUGCUGAGUGUUGUCUGAUGUAUCUCUGGAAGCCUCACCAAAACCCUGCAGGGAAGGUGGACUUUGCAGAUGAAGAAAGAAGCCCAGAUGCCACAGCACCUGGGCAAGAACCUGGAUCUUUGAUGCUCCGUGUCCCACGGCUCCUGGGACAUCGUCCUGCCGGCGCACCCACAGCUGGAGGAAAUUGCACCCAUAGACAAAUUUUUAUUCAACCUAAAACAAGGACUUUCUGUCAUCGCGGAAAUAUUUGCAUAAUACAGAAAAAGAUAAAGGAGAAAAUUUUAAAUGUCCCAUCCAGAGAUAACCAGCAUUGUUUUUUAGAUUUCCCCCCCAAAUUCUCAUUUUGAAAAAAAAAGCUACAGAAAGUUGAAAAAUAAUGAACCUAUUAACCCUUCACCCAGAUUCACCAAAUGUUAACAUUUUGCCAGGUUGGCAUUUUCUGUCUUUGUUGUGCUAUAGGGAAGUAAUUUGCAGACAUCAUGACAUUUCAUCCCUGAAUAUUUCAGUACAUGUAUCAUAAGAACAAGUUGAUUUCC
rnacentral:lncRNA from 1 species